UACAGGGGGGGCAAGCGUUGUUCGGAAUUACUGGGCGUAAAGGGCUCGUAGGCGGCCAACUAAGUCACACGUGAAAUCCCCAGGCUUAACCUGGGAACUGCGUGUGAUACUGGAUGGCUUGAAUCCGGGAGAGGGAUGCGGAAUUCCAGGUGUAGCGGUGAAAUGCGCAGAUAUCAGGAGGAACACCAAUGGCGAAGGCAGCUCGCUGGGACGUGACUGACGCUGAGACGCGAAAGCGUGGGGAGCGAACAGG
rnacentral:rRNA from 1 species